rnacentral:lncRNA from 1 species
AUAACUUCCGUGAAAUUAUAGUCGACUUUUAAAGUACGAUUUAUAUGUAAAAAAAGCUUUUUAUUGUAUAUAGAAAUAUAAAUUUUAAAGAUUAUUUUCCCUAUUUCGGAAUUCACUUCAUUUUUAAGUAUAUUUUUUAAUAUUAUAAUAUGGAAAUUUCAACGCGGGACAUAAUUUCCGCAUUUUUGAUGUGGAAAACCAUAAUAGGAAAAGGCGUUUUGGAUGAUUGAUGUCUUAGGAAGUGGCAAGUAGCACGAGAGAUAUCACUUUGAUUUUAUGCCAGACGGAUUACAGAAUAUUUUCGUAACAUCGCAGAAACGUUUGGAAUUGAUCUAACGUAACUAAAACAUUAAAAUAAUCUAAAUCAUCUUUUCUUUUUUAAAAAAAGUUUCUAAAUUUAACUUUUCUCUUAACGGAAAAGUCGAAUGUGAUAAGAUUUCGCAGAAUUCAAUACCUAUUGAUUUCCAGUGAUGAAUAUACAAUGAAGGCCAUGAUCAGGAAGCUGCUUUGCUUUUCAAAUGUUAUUCGUCUUCAGUUACAAAGUUACUAAAUUGCCCAAUAGCUGACUGAACUAUUUUAAGAACUGUUUCCAUUGUGCUAUCGACUGAACGGUAACGAAUAAAAACUAUCGGAAAGGAAAUCGUAUCAUCUGAGAAUUAAUGAUAUUUUCUACUGGCACUAGUGAUUUUUAUAACUAAAAACUGAAUACAUGUAUAAAAUGAUGUUAACUUUAUUAUUGGUCGUAUAUGUAUGAACGUUAAUAUCAUUUAUUGCUGUUCAUAGAGUUAUAAAUUGAAUUUGAGGGGUUGAAAAUGCAAUGAAAAAUAUUCCUUGUCAGAUUGAAAAAGCUUCUAAAAGUAUCAGCAAAGAAGAGUCGGUAAUAAAUCAAGGAAAGUAGGAUGAUCUAGAGGAAAACGUAGUCAAUGUACCGAAGCUGUCUCUUGGGAUUACCGAUAGAACUGAUGUCCUCCCUAUAUUAUCCGAUGGAUUGUUUCUCAUUAAGUGACCAAGGAACAUCUGUUGAGGCUUCCAGAACACAGCCUAUUAAUUAUAGAGCCUCAUUUCCGAUUACGAUAUUAAUGAUACUUCAUUUUCUGUACCUGGUGACAUGUUGCCGUGGAAACUAAAAGGGAAAAUUUUAGACUAGUUUAUACUAAAAAUAUGCAGAGAUUCCGGAAUAAUAUAUUAAAAUUUAAUAUCCGGGAGACGAUAAAUAUCAUUCAUAAGGAUGAAAAAGUUAUGCGUAAGUCGAGUAAAACUAUUAAUAAUUAUUUAUUUCAACGAUUUUUUUUUACUUAUGAGAAAUCGCGAUGGUGCUACGGAUAAUGCUCUUUUUUUUACGUUGCUUUACCUAUUUUGUUAAGUAUUUUAGCUCCUCAGUAUUUUAAAAUCUUUUUAGGAGAAGUAUUCUGAUGUAAAAAUAAUGGGAAACGUUUAUUUUUGUUGUUUCGAAACAGUACAAUU